rnacentral:rRNA from 1 species
GUAGUCAUAUGCUUGUCUCAAAGAUUAAGCCAUGCAUGUCUAAGUAUAAGCAAUUAUACAGUGAAACUGCGAAUGGCUCAUUAAAUCAGUUAUCGUUUAUUUGAUAGUACCUUUACUACUUGGAUAACCGUGGUAAUUCUAGAGCUAAUACAUGCUAAAAAUCCCGACUGUUUGGAAGGGAUGUAUUUAUUAGAUAAAAAACCAAUGCACUUCGGUGCUCUUUGGUGGUUCAUAAUAACUUCUCGAAUCGCAAGGCUUCAUGCUGGCGAUGGUUCAUUCAAAUUUCUGCCCUAUCAACUUUCGAUGGUAGGAUAGUGGCCUACCAUGGUUUCAACGGGUAACGGGGAAU